CCAGUGAGAUCCGGGAAGAACUCUGCUGGCCUCCUGCUGGCUACUACCUCCCAAAGCAACGCUAAUCUGCAACAUCCACGACACCCUCCUCCAAGCUAGCUACUACCUCCCAAAGCAACGCUAAUCUGCAACAUCAAGCGGAGCUGCAAGGCGAAGCAGCAGUUGCUGAAAAUAGUUGUGCUACCAUGAGGACCACAGAUUGAUAUGGUGAAUAAUUACUAGGAUUUCUUUUUUAUUCACUUGACCUGAUGUAGAUGUAGAAAGUCGGGAAGGGCACUGCUUCAGAGAGAUCAUGUGUUGCAGUUAGACAAGAUAAAUCUGAAUAUCAAAAGGGUUUUUGGAUAUCGGCAAUUAUGUAAUGAAUUAUGGAAUGCCAUUCGAUUUGCACUGGGCAAGUGUGUGAUCAUUAAACUCCACUAUCAACUAUCGUUGUGCGUCCAAUGCCUUCAAUCUGCAAAUGGAUACUCUCGGUAUAAGGGUAUUGCAAGACCCACCUCAUUAGAAGCAUACACGUUCUUUGAUGUAACAUCUGCCAUAUACUCAUGGUGGCACUACCAGCGAUGUAAUGUAUCCAUAGAAGCUGCAAAACAUUACUUAAUGACCCUCAAGAGUUGGAUUCAGCAACAGCUUCUUGUAGAGAUGCUCUGCAGAUUUACCUCAACACUUGUUUGCACCAGCUACACCCAUUCAUGCCGUAUGUAACAAAAGAACACUGGCAUCAUCUUCCUCUGCCCAGUAAUUCUUGCAGGAAAAGUUCCAUUAUGAUAACAUAAUAUCCAUGUGUUGUUAGGGUAAUUUUUCAUGUCUUACUAUAAAUACAGAUGACGUCACAUUUGAGUACCUAUUUACAUGUGGAGAACUAAUGUUAUUUAUGACAGGAAUGGGCAGAUGAUAAACUUGAAAGUGAAAUUGGUAUUGUCUUCCAGAUACAAAUGAAAGGUGUGUAUAUGUUGUUGGCUUUUUCUUUAGUCUAUACUAUGCAUGACAUAUACUUGCUUCUUCUUAUUGUUGGAUUGUGAAAACAAUGUGUUAUUGCUUAUUUUCUCAUUGACAAGCGACCUGCUUUCGCACUUUGUGGAGGCCAACAUAUUGCUUCCAUUGUUCAAUGCUAUGGGUCUCUAGCCGUGUCUCUUUAUUCUGUAUCAUCACUCAAGGUUUUUUACUUACAUUUCCUAAUUUAUUUUUGGACAUUUGUGGUGGUUGUGGUUUCUCCAUUGAAGCAACAAUUUCCGGGUUCCUGACCUCAUUUUGAUAGAUAUAUUAAAUAUACUAUCGUUUUGUAUGGGCGUCUUUCUUAUGUCUAGGUGAACUUUGGCCAUCACAGCUGGGAUUUUGACGAUCUUGAUGUGACUAGCUUGAUAUUUGAUGGACGUUUGUUGUUUUGGUUACGAUAUUUUAAAAAAGGUCAGAUAAACGAGUUGCAACCUGUCCUGACACCUAAUGCUUGUGUGGUGUUGCUCUGUUUGUAAGUGCCUUGUUGCAUGCUUUUCUUGACUCAAAGAGAAAAUUAAUCAUGAUAUUGCUAGGAGGAGCAAGGAGACACAUAAAUCAGGUCUUAGUAAAAUAAAUGGCUACACUGAGGAUCCAAAGUUUCAUUACACUUCCAUCAAUAUAUUCUGAAAAGCACAUGUACUUCAGUACCGUGAAUUAGAUUGAACUGUACCAAUGAUUUUAGAGAAGCAUAUGUACUGUAGUUGCCUAUAUUCAAAUUUCCGUGGAAGAAUUAAGUUCCAACAUCCAAGGAAACAUCAAGCUACGCUUAUGUUGGAAGUGGCUAUUUUCCCUAUAUUUUAGGCAGAAGCAUACAAUCUCGCUGCUGUAUAAUAGAAUAUUGAAUUGCAUAAGAAAAAUACCAGUCAUUACCAUUGUAUUUGAGUGGUAAGAAAUAUCCAGAAUACUGCCUUCUGUAUGUACUUUAUUAUUCCCUGUUUUUUCUUUGGUUGCUUUACUAUGACUUAUGAUGUAGGCUUUGCAAGAUCUGCCCUGAGUAAUUUGCAUAAUGACAACUCAAAUUCAAGGAUGCUUCAGCAGAGUGGGGUUGGCUGGAUAGCCGGAUGCUUGUGGUUGUAACUGAAACCUCUUGUCAUCUAUGUAGAAUAUGCUUUGUAUGUGCUCAAAGACAAACUUCGUAAUUUUGGCUUGCUUAAAUAUUUCAUAAAUAAUUGCAUCUUUCUAAGUAUCUCUAUGCUUGGAUCAGAUUAACUAAAUGUGCGUUUUGGAUCUUCUCAUAAUUCCAGUAAUUUCCACGCCUCCUAUUUGACAACGCAUUCUUAAUAGUAUAUCAUAUCAAUCGUGCAUCCAGCCUUAAAUAAUAUUGUGUGGAUUCACUAAUGUAUCUUACACCGCCUUUAUAUUUUGUGUUCAGUUAGUUUAUAGCUCUCCUAUGCUCUUUCUUUUCUAUUGAACUUUGGUUUGUUUUAAGGAAAUUAAGUGACCCAUAUUAUGUCCAGAUGCCAUUUUGUUCUUUAGCUUUCUUCUAUGGAUUUUGAUUGCAGACAGACAAUGAAUUUAAGAAUAAUUGCAAUUGAGGGUAAAUACAUCAAAGUAGAAAGUGGUUGAUCUUCAACGGGAUUAUCCAUAAUAUGGUGUUUGAGAUAAGCUCAUUGAUGACAUUAUAUUCAAAAAUAAGAGAUUAUCAUCUUGUGUAUUAAAAGAACUUCAAUUAGUUGUGAGUAAUCCUUGAUUCUUGAGCCUCUCAAGAUUAACCUUAAGCACACAUGAUGUAAACACUUCUUGUGAUAUGCCAAAAUGCACAUUUAUUGUUAGCCUGAUCGUUUAGCUUGCAUAAAUUAAAUUCAUAUUAACUUCGAAAAAUUUAGUGUGGUACUUGUAUGUUCACAGUGGACAAUUGACAAAAUGGUUUACCGAUGGUAUUAUAUAUAACAUUAUUGUUCGUGGAUGAGCAAAUUAUGUGUGUUUUUCAGUUUAUGAUGAUCUUUAUUAUUUUUCACUAAUUUCUAGAAUUUUGGUAUAUUUGCUAUGCUGACAUCUACUUGCAGGAAGGACAUUGUCUUGAUGUUUUGGUGAAGCAAUAUAUGUAGGAGUUGCUCUAUGGCUGGCUGGUUGCUUGGCUCCCCCACCUAACUUUCACCUGCCAAUUAUCUUAUUGUAGAUAAGGAAGCCUUCCAACUUAUACACAUUUUAUCUCUUGAUUCUACAAAAAUGAAAGAAAUUUGAACUCUUUCUUAUCUGAGUGCAAAUUUAUUGUAUGAAUUACACUUGGAAUCUUUUUUUCCUCUCUGCAUAUGAUUUAUGAGCAGCAGCAGUGUGUUCUUUCUAUACAUAACGAGUAUUGCCUUUGGUCACAGAAAACUCUCUCUUUCUAUCUCCAAUUUUUUUUAUCCAAAUCAAUUAGAACUUUAACUACCAUUUUCAUUGUUGUUUGUUAAAUAUUUAAUGGAGAAGAGUUCAGAUACCCAACUGGAUGCACAUGCAUAUUUUUUAUUAACAUGCAUCUAUCUUUACUGAGAUGUAUGGAUUUCAUUCUUGGUCAGAACAUCCCUCUGAUUUCUGUUGCAGGUAUCCUACAUAAUGGAAUUGCUGCUCGCCUCGGAUGCUAGGCUGGUCUGAUAAAAGGUUGGUCUGAAGUACAUGUCAACUGCAAGAUAUAGUGCCCUGAACUAUAUGUGAGUAUCAUUUUUUUGUAUCACGGUGAUAAUUUGCAAGCCCAGCUUAGUUUUGUGUUUGGUCUGCUCCUGAGUUUCCUUCAUGUGUGCAUCUUUUGUCUAUGUAAAGCACGUGUGGAAGCUUAGUUCUGGUUUGAUCAACCUUUUCAUAGGAAUUUCUUUACUGUAAGAAUCUUUGUCUAUGUAAACCACUAACUCACCGUUUGGUAUUUCAUUGGAUACAA